AGUUUGCAGAGAGCAGCAGAAUUUUGCACUCUGAGCUCCCUUAGCCCACAGGCUCAAUAAACACAGGGCUUUUCACCACUGAGCUCAGAGUCACAAGUGCAAACAGUGCCGGGCUGGCAGCCUGGGGAGAGGUAACCAGAGGACAAGAGGUGAAAUAUGCUGUGAUUAUUCUAUUCCAGAGCAAAGCCAAUCCCAUGGUAAAGCUGUGAGCUGAAGGACUACGAAGUCAUCUGCACUGGGAUGUUUCCCGUGAAGUACUGAGGGACACGCACUGUCCUGCUGUGAUUUACUGGACGCUGCUAAACAGAGAUCUCUGGCUGGAAAACCCAAGGCUGGACGCUGAGCAGAUGGCAAUGGUGGCUGAGAUUUAUCGGAAAGGAGACGUUCUUGUCUUGGUGCAGCUCAUACUUUACGAGUGCUUGCCACCUUCUGGUUUGAGAAAGGAUUACAACCGUUAAACUACUGGGAAUUGAGAGGAAAUCGACUGUAAAAACUCUGGUCCUGUUCCUAAUCCCCCUAAAAGGAUUGACGGAUUUGCAAAGUGCCAUAAUGCCUGUCAGAGAAUUUGGAAAUGAAAGGAUGGAUGAUGCUGUCGAUAUCCUUGAAGAAUGCCCUUUAACCAUUGUGUAAAAUAUUCAGGGAAAAUAUUGAGAGCAGGAGCAAUGGAAAAUUAAUCUUAAAAGCGAAAUAGGUGCAAAGCUUCCAAAAAGAAAAGAAUUUUGAAAUAGUGAACAUUUUUUCUCACAAAAAUGUUUGCAGAUUUUGACCAAUCUGACACUUCCACUCAAUCCUAUCAGCUGUCAUUUGUCUGCCCAGCUUCAGUGAUGCCACUUAAAAUGAUUACAUCUGCCCUUUGUGCAAGAGGAGGAUGCACAGUAUCUGUAAAAAAAAGACAACUUUACAGUCAUGGCUACUCAAAUAAUACGAAUAGCACUACAAAAAAAGUCAGAAUUACCUUAUUCAGUCAUUUUUGAUUUAGCCAGAUGAGUGUUUUCACAACACAUGUGUACUUCAUGAAGGCUAGUAAACACUUUUUCUAAUGGAUAUCACAUUGUCUGGCUUCAUGUAAUUCAAACUUCAUUUCAGAUGUCACAGUUUAGUCCUUAAAAACCAUUUAUAUUUAAUUUACCAUGAUCUUAAUAGAAGGCACCAGAGUAUCUGAACACAUUCCAGCAGUGUAUGAAGCACUGUGACUAACAUAUGCCAUUUGUUUGUUCAAUUUGUUCCUUCCCAGCAUGGGACAAAUGGGCAGCAAAGCACUUCUUUCUGUGUGUUUUUAUAAUAUGCACAAAGAACUAUGUUUGUAUUGGGAAAGGCAGGUCUGAACCAAUAUCCCUCACACACAGAGAGAAAAGCAGUGAGGUUUUGAUGCUCCCCAGUCGUUGUCAGGUCACAUAAGGAUUUUGGCCGGCACUCCAAAAAUGGUUGGUUGAUUUCUCGGAUAUAACUUGACCUUGCUGAUCUUCUCACUGUAGGGUACAAGCACGGCAGAGUCCCUGCUUACCUUCGCUAAUCAGAACAGAUUUGCUGUAUCCCCCCACUGGGUCUGUACGAUGACUGUGGUUGCAGCAAGAUGAGCAGCAGCCAUUUGCCCACUUUGACUCCCUAAGAAGGCUGGGGAAGAGAAGCCGAAAAUUGGAGGAGAGCUGGCAGGUAUGGAUCAAUGGUGCGAUGCGCUGUAGAACUCCUUGCUGAGAACACAUCUUUUUGGAUACUAGCAUCUACAGAUAAUUCAGGAAAAGACAGGGAAGAAAUUAAAGAAAAUGAAGCCAUGACUUUUGUCAGGGCCCAGAAUUGCUUCUAUGCAGUAGAGAAGAGCUGGAGGAAAAAAGCUCUGCUAAUUCUUUCCAGACAAGAAGGCGAGUUAGGGUCAGAGCUAGCAGGAACAAAGAUAAAAAUAAAAGAACAAGAAGUCUCUGAGACACCAAGAAAUAAUUUUACACUUUCUACACUUUGCAGCCUGUGUUCACUCCCUGUCCAUCUUUCCCUGGGGCUGUGCUUGGUGCUACAGCCAUUUCUGAGGGCCAGGAGCCACGCUCAGCUGAGGAAGCAGCCACCAGUGAUGGCCAUCUUCAGGUUUGCCCUGAACCCUCCAGAGCAGACCCAGGCCCACUUUGAGACUGUGAGGUUUUGAGCGUCAGGCACAGCCUGGCAGCUUGCUCUGACUUUGCUGCAUUCGUUGCUGUCUCUUAAGCAACAUUCAUCUGCAUUUCUCACAACAAUUCCUUUUUCUGUUUUUUUUUUUCUUUUGUUUUUUUUUUUUCUUCUUCUCAUCCUUAGGAUCAGGGUGCUGUUUUCUUAGAUUUGUUCUUGUGAAUCACUUCUGCUUAGUAGAUCGCUUUGUAACCACUUUGAGAAUACCAAGCAAUCAAAGUUUCAUUGCUAUGACUGUUCACUUAAAUGAUACAAUAUGUAUCUGCUCAUUAUGUGGUUGAAUGGCUUCCAGAUUUCCCAGUGCAUGCAUCUGAGGACGAUAUAUUUAAAAUUCCCACUUGGCAAAUGUUUUUCAAUACUGUCUUAAAUAAACUAGUUUCCAUGGAUGUUCUUGCCAAUACAUUUAUUAGUUCUGAUCUCUGGGCUUUAUCCAAACUGACCGGUCAUUUGUCAGUCAAAAUAUACAGAUGCAAAUGGUUGUGCCAUGAAAAAAAAAAAAAGGAAUUUUAGUUUCCAGUUCUUUCCAUGCUUGUGGUGGUGUUUUUCAUUCUGAGUACGGGACAUUUUCAGAAGGCGAAUUGUGAAACUGCUGUAGUAUCUGUUGCCUUUCUGAACACACGUGAGGCUCCACGAGGGUAUGUAACAGCAUGGCGAGAAACCAUUCCCAUCGCAGGAACAAACGAAGCUGAAUUUAUCUUGCCAUGGCAUUCACAAUUGAAAUGAAUAAAGACCCACAGGACUGCGUGCCAUUGGAUGGUGCCAAAUACAACCUUACAUGAGCUCCCUGCUAUCUGAAGGCUCCUGCUGCUUGCUGUAGCUCAUCACCAGGCAAACGGAUGAUUUAGUGCGUGCGAGUGUAGCCAUAAACCAAAAGCUUCCAGAUGAAAUAAUGCUCUCUCACUCUCAACAGAAGCAAUUACAAUGUAGCUGUCUGUACAGCCUUUAACAUUGCUACUAAAAGGCUGAGCUACUCUAAAGUGCACAGUGAUAGAGCUGAGUUUCUCCGGCUGAGUAGUUUUUGCACCUGCUGAACACAUCCUAUAGCCUUGGGAAUCUUAAAGGAAGACAGAAAAAGUCUACACAGCCUCACAGAGCGUGUGUUUUGGACGUGAAUACAUAACUUGCAUAUAAAAUAUAUACGCAUUCCUUCCUUUAUACACACACAUGCACAUAUGGUGAGAAAGCAAUGUCUUAUUUUGCUAUAUUUCUAAAAUAAAUCACUACUUUCAUAGGAUAAUUGAAAGAUUAUGCUCAUAGUUCUUCUAGUAUGGACUUAGAAUGAAUUUUCAUGAGAAAUAUCUUAUUUUCCCACAAAAUAUAUCCAGAGCAGAUAGAGUUUUCAGGAGCAAGUAAAGGAUACUCAGUUUUCCCUCACUUUAAUUCAAACAAUUCUUGGUGUUUCAAAAGUUUGACGAUAGCCCCACAGAAAAGAG
ensembl:lncRNA